rnacentral:tRNA from 1 species
CCAGUGGUAGUUCAGUGGUAGAAUUUUCACCUUCCAUUUUUUUAUUUUCUAUGUGGAGGCCUGGGUUUGAGUCCCAGCCACUGCA